UUGCUUUUUUAGAAGAAGGAGCUUGAUAUGGAUUGUUUGAAACAUUUUCCUGGCCUCUUGCAGUGGAACAUGAAAAAGUUAUUUGGUCAGAUGCUGAUAGUCCAGAGCUAUUGCGUGGAUAUUGGAUUAUAAGAAUACCAAACAAUAGGGAGCAAGGAUCUCAGAUCAUCAACCUUUAUUAUUGAGGAUUAUGCUAAAGCAGUUACAACAAAUUGGAUAAAGAUCAGUCUGGAAAAAGC